rnacentral:rRNA from 1 species
CCUUAGUAACGGCGAGUGAAACGGAUGAGCCCAGCGCUAAAGGUUGCCGCUCGUUUGGGUGGUGACCGGUGUAGCGUAUAGAGCGUUCGUUUGGCGAUUUGCGGUUGGUCUAAGUUUUGCUGGAAAGCAAUGGCUUAGACGGUUUUACCCCGGUAUGGCCGACUGCAGUUGUCAAGUGUGCGUUCUUGGAGUCGGGUUGUUUGGAAACACAGCCCGAAGCGGGAGGUAAACUUCUCCUAAGGCUAAAUAUGACCGCGAAACCGAUAGAAAACAAGUACCGUGAGGGAAAGUUGAAAAGCACUUUGAAAAGAGAGUGCAAGAGAACGUGAAACCGAAGUAAUGGAAGCGUAUGGAGCUAGCGUAUCUGGUACGUAUUCAGCCGUUGAGCGCGUUGAUUGCUGUGUUCGCCAUUCUGCAAAGUUGGCUGCAUGGUAUUGUCGGCGUGUUUGUCGGUGCAUUUGCGUACGGAGUGCGCCGGGUCGUGCGAUUGCGUCGAUUGAGGCGUGUCUAGAGGACUUGGCUUUCGGGUCGAGAAACCUGGGCAUGUGGAGGUCGGUUGCUGUUGCGCGGCUAUGUGGAUGCACGGGUUUUUCGUGCGAAUUUGUAUUGAUUGUGCUUGACUUGUUGGUACGCAUGCGUGCCUUCUUGAUGAGUGCUGUCGGUGCGGGUUCGUGCUCUGUGCUCUUCCCGGUGUAUAGCUAGUGACCCAUUCGACCCGUCUUGAAACACGGACCAAGGAGUUUAUGGUACACGCGAGUCAUUGAGUUAUAAAAGCUCAAAGGCGCAAUGAAAGUGAGACUGUUGCAGGUUUUAAUGCGAGUGGUGUUCGUUUCGACGUGCGCUACGCAGCAUUGCCCCAUUUCAAGGACUUGUCCUGUUGUGGAGGUUGAGCGUGUGCUAUGAGACCCGAAAGAUGGUGAACUAUGCCUGAACAGGAUGAAGUCAGAGGAAACUCUGAUGGAAGUCCGAAGCGGUUCUGACGUGCAAAUCGAUCGUCUGAUUUUGGUAUAGGGGCGCAAGACUAAUCGAACCAUCUAGUAGCUGGUUUCCUCAGGAUAGCUG